rnacentral:rRNA from 1 species
GACGAACGCUGGCGGCGUGCUUAACACAUGCAAGUCGAACGGAAAGGCUCCAGCUUGCUGGAGUACUCGAGUGGCGAACGGGUGAGUAACACGUGGGUGAUCUGCCCUGCACUUCGGGAUAAGCCUGGGAAACUGGGUCUAAUACCGGAUAGGCCCGCACUUUGGUGUGUGUGGUGGAAAGGUUUUUCUGGUGUGGGAUGAGCUCGCGGCCUAUCAGUUUGUUGGUGGGGUAAUGGCCUACCAAGACGGCGACGGGUAGCCGGCCUGAGAGGGUGGACGGUCACAUUGGGACUGAGAUACGGCCCAGACUCCUACGGGAGGCAGCAGUGGGGAAUAUUGCACAAUGGGGGAAACCCUGAUGCAGCGACGCCGCGUGGGGGAUGAAGGCCUUCGGGUUGUAAACCUCUUUCAGUAGGGAAGAAGCGAAAGUGACGGUACCUGCAGAAGAAGCACCGGCUAACUACGUG